UAGCUGGGUUGUUAGAGCACUGGCCUUGGAAACCAGAGUUGUGAGUUUGAGCCUCAC
rnacentral:tRNA from 1 species